AAAGUUAUUUUUUAACACACAUGAGAAAAAAUGUUUUAUGAAUAUGGUAUAGAUUGAUAAAUAUAAAUUGAUGCAAUUUUGUAAAUAUUUGCAAUUCUUAAUACCUUAAUAGCCAGUCCAUCCCAGGGAACAUGCAAUCAUACUUUAUUAGAAAUUCAGAGACAGCAAUCAGGCUGACUGCACAUCUGUGAACUGCAGGAGGAAACCCAUCCAAUACAAACAGAACAGAAGUGGAUUUGCUCCCCACCCCAACCCAUGGUGUGGUGAAGUCACUUAGUGAUGUCACAGUGUGUCACUUAGCCGCUCCUUUGAAACAUCAGCAUAAGUAACCUUCACCAGCAGAGGGCAUUCGUUUCAUGGAGAUUUGCCUGAUGCUGAUUCCAAACAAUUAAUUACUGACAACACUAUUCAUCUUCACACAAAGAUUGUACUUCUGUUACAAGGUAACUGAACAAAACCAUCACAAACUGCAUUAUGAUCGUGUUGCUUCCCGUGAGAAUGUUUUGUGCCUCUGCCUAGUCAUUAGUAUACAUAAAAAAGCAAGACUGACCAGUUUUAGGUCUAAUACUAUAAACAACCUUAGUGACAGAUUCCAUAGGAUGCCCAUAACAGCAAGAAAGCCCCAACGGGAGAGUAUGGUGAGUCUGGCAAAGGGCUGGUAGAGAGAGCAAGAGAGAAACAGAUUUAAGUCUAAGACAUUUUGAGAUUUCACAAUGCGGAACACAUGCUUUACUACAGCAACACUAAUAUGAGUGAAAUCAGAAAAUUAGCUGAAAAUCAAAGAAAUGCAGCAGAAACAUUCAGAUUUUAACUGUAUCUGGUGACAUUGGUGGUGGAGGAUUUCCAGAAUAUAGAAGUUCAGGACACUCGUGUUUUUAUUCAAAAGUACUCCUGUGUGCUGCAAGAGGGCCAGCUGUGGUUUCACAACAAAAUCUAAUGACCAGUGAAGUAGGAAGAAAGUGGCAGAUGGGGAACUGCAAUAAAUGCAGAUGUGUGAAAAAUGAAGAUUCUUUUUGUACUGAUGGUUUUCCUCUCCGGUUUCCAUCUCCGAUACAUCUGAGGUCCAGAGCAGGUGACUGGAGUAGAAGGGGGUUCAGUGAGCAUUAAUUGCUCAUAUGCCAGGCCUGUCACAAGAUACAUGAAGUAUUGGUGUAAGGGCAAACUGCAAGACUCCUGCAAAAUUUUAACAUCAACCUGCAAUACAAUUCCGGGCUUAAGGAUUUCUGUCCAGGAUAACCGAUUCAAACUGGUCUUUUAUCUGACCAUGGCUGCCCUCAGAGAGGAAGGUAUGGGCUGGUAUCAAUGUGUCAUAGAUGAAUUUCCAUCCGUCAUUGGCCACCAUCACACCGUGAGUCUUAUUGUCAUCAAUGGUAAAAAUCUGAUAGAAAAAGUGUUUUUUUAUACAGAGUGGUGAGCUUUAAGCUAAGGGAGUUCUGAAAGAUAAGUGAUAUUUUUGAGAGAACAAUAGAAUUGAUGCCAUAAUUUGUCAAACACAGCAACACUAAGUAACAAACAUAGUAACACUAUGUAAGUUCAAUGUGUAUCUUUCAUUCAUGGAUGUAAAUCAGAUAUCAGUAGAUGUAAAACUUACAUUGUGUUUACACAAUGGUUGUGGCACCAGCAAGUUGAACUACAACUGACCCCCCACAUAAUUCAUCAGCGGAAGCCAGUGACAUCAAGGAAUCAAGGUAAGUACUUGCUCUCAGUGACAUCACAACUCUUUUUCUUUAAGUUUCUUAGUCAGAAUUUUCUUCCAGACAUCUUUAUUCCACAUCCAUUCAGGUCAGUACGCAGGGCAUGACUUACUAUUACAUCCAUCCAUUUUCUGUAAACGCAUAUCCUAGUCAGGGUCGUGGGAGUUCCAGAGCCCAUCCCAGAUACUACAGGCGCAAGGCCGCAAAUAACACAGGAUGCUGUGCCAACCCAUCACAGGGCUCACUCACACAUGCACACCUAUGGGGUAAUUUGGUAACUCCAAUUAGCUUCGGCAUGUUUUUGGACUGUGGGGGGAAACCCGAGUACCUGCAGGAAACCCCAUGAUGACAUGGGAAGAACAUGCAAACUCCCAUGCAUUCUCAGCUCAGAUGUGAGUGUACACAGAUAGCUCAUGCAUUGUUGGUUAAGCUACGCAUCGUUAUAAGAAACUAUUGACUUAAGUAGGCAGGCAGACUUCACUCUAAUUACAUAGGCAAGUUGUGUUGUCCCCUAGUUCUGAACCGUAUUUAAAAGCCCUACAAAGGUUCAGUUCUGGGACAGAGUGUGUCCUACAGUAUAUAUAUUUUUAAAUAUAUAUAUCAGAUUUCUAGCAUAUAUAUGACUAACAAUCAGAUGUAUGUUUAUAAAUGUAUAUCAAGUGGCCUAGUUUUUUGGGGGUUUUCAAAUGUAAUUCUGAUAGUAAUUUCAGUUUUUCUGUUGUUUCAUCAACGUUUAUAGAAUGAAAGUAUUAGAUAUUUUCUCCACUUCAGUUCUUAGAGUUGGCAGGUAACACACUAGCUAACAACAUGGACUGGUGAAUGAAAGACAGAGGUGGACCCUGGCUUUGGACCCUGGAGCAAAGUAUUUACCCAUCAUUGCUCCAAUAAGAAAUGUCUAGCAAUACAAAUGGGUGAGAAAAGCAGCUUCGAAUUAAAGAGUGUUUGCUGAGGAACUAUAUUGAUGAAAAAAAACUGUACAUAAAGGGAGGCAACAUCAUGACGUGUUUUUUUUACUUUUUUUAGUCAUCUAAAAAUGAGCAGGGUGUGGUCUAUCCUUCGCUGGGUCCUCCUUGCUCUGAUGCUGGCGUGCACCUUAAUGGUCAGCUGGUGGAAAAGGACUCCAGCAUCUCCAACCUCCACAUCAGGGGUCACGCCCAAGACUAGUAUGCAAGGACUCCCCAAGAAGGACCCUCCUGACACCACCCUUGCACUCCACUUCCCCUCUGACCUGUUUUGAAGAGGUGACAUACCACCAAUUCAUGUUCCAGCUGGCUAUACUUGCUAGAGCUGCACUGGGGUUAAAAACUGGCCCUGGAGUUUGGGGUCCCACGCAAUAAAUUUUGCCAGGCCACAGAUAAAUGUCCGGUAUACCAGGUAACUGGAUGAG